GACGAACGCUGGCGGCGUGCUUAACACAUGCAAGUCGAACGAUGAAGCCUUUUGGGGUGGAUUAGUGGCGAACGGGUGAGUAACACGUGGGCAAUCUGCCCUGUACUUUGGGAUAAGCCUUGGAAACGAGGUCUAAUACCGGAUAUGACUGGCCUUCGCAUGGGGGUUGGUUGAAAGUUCUGGCGGUACAGGAUGAGCCCGCGGCCUAUCAGCUUGUUGGUGGGGUGAUGGCCUACCAAGGCGA
rnacentral:rRNA from 1 species